AGCCGCUGGGAUUAGCCGACCGCAGGGACUAAUCCCGGAUGAGCCUCGUGUAAACCCGGAUCGACAGCGGGGACGGCGGGGGUUGCUGGCACCCCUUCAUCCGUUCCCAGACGCGGAGCAUCACGGGGCAUAGAGCCCACCCCGAGGCUCCUUGCUGCUUUCGGAGAGACCCGAGUUGGAUCUGCAGUUGGGGGCGUGGCGGGGCAGGAGAUGAAGAACGCAGGGCCGGGAUCUGACGCGCCGAGAGCCUGGCGCGGGGUGACUGGGGUGUGGGGCGGAAAGGCAGAGAUCUCUCGGGCAGUACUUGAAUCUACCGGCUUAGGUCAGCUCCCUACUCAGUCUACAACCGAAGCCCCCUACCUAUCCUCCAGUUACAGAAUCACAGACCCUCCCCCUACCAGUGGGUGUGGCAACCCUUCCUAAACCUGAGGCCUCACCUCAUUAGGAGAGGCGCUGAAUCAGCGGGGGAGGGGCCCGCAUUGUCUCCACCCCUGACUUGACCCCACAGUGAAGGGUGAGGAGUUCCUUCUGUUAAGGCCUAGCCCAGGAAAAGAUGUCUGGAGUUAAGGAAGUUGGAGGAGAUGUGGUGGCCGACUGGGUACCAGAAUCCUGUCACUGGUUGAUUAACUCAUUCUACAAACAUUUCCUGAGCCCCUCCCAUGUGCCAGACCGGCACAGGGUACUGGACCCCAAGAAUGACACACAGUCUCUGUGGGAAAGGCAGACAGGUAAACAAUGACCACAUCUUGUGUUCGGCCCUGCCUUGAGCCGGAAAUUCUGGCAGGAGACCUAAAGGCGCUGUCCUCUCCAAAGUCUAGAGGCUUUCUGGAAGGGGUGGUGCCAGAGCUGAGUUUCAAAGGGCAAAUGAGGGAUAGGCUACUGAGGAAGGGGUCAGCCUUGCAGGCUGAGGAGGAGUAUGUGCCAGGGUCUGGAGGUGGAGGAGGAGGUGAGGUGGCUCAGGAGGGCAGGAGAAGUUGGAGAAGAAGGCAGGGGCCAGAACUAAGGACCUGCUGGUCAACUUAAAGUGCUUGGAUUGAGGGGUUGGAGAGGAGCCAUUUACAGAUUUUAAGCCUGUAAAAGAAAAGGUCAGAUUUACAUUCUUCCAGAUUCUGUGUUCCUCCCUUCCCUGCCCCAGGUUUCUCUGGGGAUGCCUGGGUUGGGAGUGGAGAUACACAGGCAGACAGGAAGAGGAACCAGGUGCAGUUUAGGCUGGUUAAGAAUGGUCCCUGGCUGGUCGCGGUGGCUCACACCUGUAAUCCCAGCACUUUGGGAGGCCGAGGUGGGCUGAUCACGAGGUCAGGAGUUCGAAACCAGCCUGGCCAACAUGGGGAAACCCCAUCUCUACUAAAAAUAUCAAAAUUAGCUGGGCACGGUGGUGCGCACCUGUAAUCCCAGCUACUUGGGAGGCUGAGGCAGGAGAAUCAUUUGAACCCGGGAGGCAGAGGUUGCAGUGAGCCGAGAUUGUGCCACUGCACUCUAGCCUGGACAGCAGAGCAAGACUCCAUCUCGGAAAACAAACAAAAGAAUGGUCCCCACUUUCCAUCAAACUUGGAGUCAGAGAGACCUACGUUAGAAAUUUGGCUGUACUUAUUUCUAGUGGCAUGACCUUGGGUAGGUGGCUGAGCCUCAGUUUCUUCCUCUGUAAGGUGGGGAUAAUAGUGCUUACCAUCACCAAAGGUUAUUGUGGGGCUUCAAUGAGAUAAUUUGUCCACUUUUUUAUUUAUCACACGUCUAACACCUACUAAGUGGCAGGCACUGUCUCAGGUGCUAGCAUUAUGGUGCUGAAUAAGACAGGCAUGAUGCCUACUCUCUCUCUCUGGGAACUUGCAUUCUAGAGGAAAAGACAGACAAUAAACAAAUAAAUGAGAU
rnacentral:lncRNA from 1 species